rfam:Lupinus angustifolius cultivar Tanjil chromosome LG06, whole genome shotgun sequence.
GGGAUUGUAGUUCAAUUGGUCAGAGCAUCGCCCGGUCAAGGCGGAAGCUGCGGGUUCGAGCCCCGUCAAUCCCA